GACGAACGCUGGCGGCGUGCCUAAUACAUGCAAGUUGAGCGAUGAAGAUUGGUGCUUGCACCAAUUUGAAGAGCAGCGAACGGGUGAGUAACGCGUGGGGAAUCUGCCUUUGAGCGGGGGACAACAUUUGGAAACGAAUGCUAAUACCGCAUAACAACUUUAAACAUAAGUUUUAAGUUUGAAAGAUGCAAUUGCAUCACUCAAAGAUGAUCCCGCGUUGUAUUAGCUAGUUGGUGAGGUAAAGGCUCACCAAGGCGAUGAUACAUAGCCGACCUGAGAGGGUGAUCGGCCACAUUGGGACUGAGACACGGCACAAACUCCUACGGGAGGCAGCAGUAGGGAAUCUUCGGCCAUGGACGAAAGUCUGACCGAGCAACGCCGCGUGAGUGAAGAAGGUUUUCGGAUCGUAAAACUCUGUUGGUAGAGAAGAACGUUGGUGAGAGUGGAAAGCUCAUCAAGUGACGGUAACUACCCAGAAAGGGACGGCUAACUACGUG
rnacentral:rRNA from 1 species